UUUUAUUCAAAUCUUUAUAUUUUAGGUGGAAAAUGAGGAAAACAUAUUGGUAGUUUUAAGAAUAAUCAUAGAAUUUUAUAAGACCUUCAGGCCACCAUGCAGCUUCGAAAUACAGAUGUUUCUGCUUUAUGUAAAGAAUAUUUACAAAGAACUGCCUAAUCACUUGCAUCUUAUAUUUGAACUACGGCCUACUCCAAAUGUAAAAGAUUUAUCGGCAACUACGUUGGAACUUUAAUUGAAAGAAACAUUUACCAUAACACAGAUUCAAAUUGAGAAAAGUGGAAAAAGAAUCCCGAAUUCAACUACCCAGAUGGGGUGCACUACCUUUUGAAAUGAAGGGCCACAUGCACAGCAGAUUGACCUAUGAAGGGUUGCAUGCCCAAGAAUUUAGACAGGCAUGUUAACAGCAAUUAUAGGUAGUAAUUGUUUUAUAAACAUCAUUGUUCUAGGCACUAAAUCCUUUUUAUCAGUUAACCUUGCAAUAUAUUUGUUUAAAAUUAAAUGCUUUUAAAUGUUUAAAAUUAAAAACUGAUUACCCAAGGAAACAAAACACAAUCAGAAAACCAGAAUCAAUUUAUGAGAAGAA